UACAGAGGUCUCAAGCGUUGUCCGGAAUCAUUGGGCGUAAAGCGCGCGUAGGUGGCCUCGUAAGUCCGCUGUGAAAGUCAAAGGCUCAACCUUUGAAAGCCGGUGGAUACUGUGAGGCUAGAGUACGGAAGAGGCGAGUGGAAUUCCUGGUGUAGCGGUGGAAUGCGCAGAUAUCAGGAGGAACACCAAUAGCGAAGGCAGCUCGCUGGGACGUAACUGACACUGAGGCGCGAAAGCGUGGGGAGCGAACAGG
rnacentral:rRNA from 1 species